AGUGAACGCUGGCGGUAGGCCUAACACAUGCAAGUCGAACGGCAGCACAGGAGAGCUUGCUCUCUGGGUGGCGAGUGGCGGACGGGUGAGGAAUACAUCGGAAUCUACUCUGUCGUGGGGGAUAACGUAGGGAAACUUACGCUAAUACCGCAUACGACCUACGGGUGAAAGCAGGGGACCUUCGGGCCUUGCGCGAUUGAAUGAGCCGAUGUCGGAUUAGCUAGUUGGCGGGGUAAAGGCCCACCAAGGCGACGAUCCGUAGCUGGUCUGAGAGGAGGAUCAGCCACACUGAAACUGAGACACGGUUCAGACUCCUACGGGAGGCAGCAGUGGGGAAGAUUGGACAAUGGGCGCAAGCCUGAUCCGGCCAUACCGCGUGGGUGAAGAAGGCCUUCGGGUUGUAAAGCCCUUUUGUUGGGAAAGAAAUCCAGCUGGCUAAUACCCGGUUGGGAUGACGGUACCCAAAGAAUAAGCACCGGCUAACUUCGUGCCAGCCGCCGCAGUAA
rnacentral:rRNA from 1 species